CCUUUCUGGAUAGGAUUGAGGACCCCUGCACUACAGGCAAAACAAGUGACUGUUUCCUCCAGGAAAGCAAGUGACUGUUUUACACCCAACAGGCAAAUACAGCACUACAGGACGGUUCCCUCAUAUCUUUCAAAAAAGUUACUGCAGCUUUAAAUAAAAGCGUCAAAGAGACAGAGCUCGUCUUGAUGUCUGCGGCAUUCCAAUUCUGUGGGUGUUGCUUUCAUCUACAAUUGGAACAGAGACAGCAGAGUGUGGUGGACAAGGUGGCAGAGGGGUUGAUGAAUAGCCGCGUUUGGAGCACGAACCCCCCCCGAUCGCACCUCCGGCGCCGACCUCACAAUAGGAACGAGGACACAGAAAUGGAAUUAGAAGCGCUUAAUAUGGCACCUGCAGGGCGGUCGUUUCCACGGAGGCUCGUGAAUAUUCAUGAGCCUGGCUGCCGCCUCGGCUGGAGCUCGGAAUUUUUUUAAAAACCCGGCUAUUUCCCUUCGUGAGUGUAAGUGGGAAAAACCGACAAUGCAAGUGAAGAUGCCGCCUGGUUAGCUGCAUGCGCUUGGCGGGUCCGUAAAACGCUGUUCAUAUGCAUAAAGAAUUUCGGCAUUAGGCUUAAUUAUUGACUUAUAUUGAAUUAUUGAUUUAUUUCCCCAAAGUGAUUAUGCAAUGAGCGCAAGCCUGCUUUGAAGCGCAAGUGGAGAAACCCACCAGUGGGUAUAAUGAUGAGGCUGGCCUCCUGCUAUCGAGAUAAUAAUAUAUUCAUAGGGGUCAUAUUUCUCCUUGCAGUUAACUGGGUGAACGGUCUAUGUUCAUAGAAAGGACAGGGGCUGGACAGAACAGCCAAAGCCUACAUGUUUUACAAGCAAAGAAAAUUAAUUCAAAGAAAUGUGCAUCUAAAUAUCUGGGAAAUAACUAACAUGUUGCAACUGUGUAUUUACAUUUAUAUCGUGCACACUUGAAACACAUGGUGAUGCUUGCUGCACAGACAGUAUAAGAAAGGAAAAUUAAAUAUUGCAUGUACUGUUUAUAUCCAUGCUGCAUAUAUUUUAAAAGGAGCGUCAUACCUUGUAUAUCUGUUAUGUUUAUUUAUUUUUUUUAAGUAGGUAUUUAUGGUAUUUGAUACUUCUCUGGAAUUAGAUUGUAGCUUCAAAAGUUCUGUAAGCUUUAUAUUGGGAAAUCACUGUUGUACAAGCCCUAUAGCUGUGGUAACCAGCCCUGCGCCUAGAGAUCUACCAUCUCAUAGGUUCAUUCCAAACAUAACAAAGCACACCACAUUUACCAGCUGGAGACCUUGUUGAGCUGCUCAUUAGUAGAGUCAGGUGUGCCAAAUUAGAGUUGAAAUGAAAACCUACAGGAUGGUAGAUCUCCAGGAACAAGGUUGGUUACUACUGCCCUAAAGCCUAUGAAUUUGGGUAACUCUUUACUUUCAUUAGUGAAAUUAAUGGAUAGUUUUCUGUAUCCACCCUUUUGUAAACAGAUAAUGCAAAUCAGCUUCAGUUAAGCCAUGGUAAUUAUUCUGAGCAGCCACAGAAAGUGUAAAUUAAGAGAGGUGAAAUGGCACAGGCUGUAGAUGGAGUGGCAAUUAUUUUGUAACAUUUCCAUAGAUCAAUUAUAAUUAGGAUUCAAUUAAAUAUUACAUUUUAAAUGAGGGAGUUUGUCAAUCAAAUUUAAAGUGUAAGGUUAUUGUUAAGUUCCUCUUUAUUUUUUGAUGCUUAAUCUAUUGUUUUGCAGAGGUUACCACUGUAGAAUGUGUGCACUGUGAGAAGCUCUGCAUAGAUCAUUUUAAAAGAGGCAGUUUUGACUCUUUGAUUUUUAGAUUUUUUUUUUUAGUAUCAAUAAAUGUUU